UAUAUCAUAAUUAUGCUCAUACAUAAAAUAGGUCUCGCACAUACUUUAUAUUUGUUUUGCCUAUUAGAAUUGUGUCCUGCAUUUAUACCCCACCCGCAAGUUACCGGCUGAAAAACAAACAUGGUGAGCGAUGUUCCGGAGGUUGAUGCCGCAGAAAUAUAAGCAAUAUUCUGGAUUUCAAGCAUCAAAACCUGAUAGUGUUAAAUGGACGGAUAUUCUCCUAGAUCAACGAUAGAAAUUGUAAGGCGUUUCUUUGACUGGCAAAUUGGAUUAGUCUUUUGAUGUUCGUUGUUGGAAGCGGUACGUUUCGGAUUGAUAACAUCAGGAGCCCGGUCGACGCUGCAGUCCUGCGGAAAUCUAAGAUUGUGAAAAUUCGGAGCCCGGCCGACGCAGCGAUUUGGCCAGCGAAGCUGCAGCAGCCAAAGUGUGCCGAUGAUAAAAUUUUCCAUUGGACAAUAAGCGAUUUUCAAUUUAUAUACCCACGAAUCCGAAGAACUGAUCAUAUUUUCGUGCUUUCAUGUCUCUGAAGACCUCGAGGUCGUGACUGGUUGAGUUGAUAUCUCAGCCGACAUGUAACCUGUGUUUAUAUACUUUGUAAUGAAAUACAUAAC